GCUCGAAUCUGUGACCUAUACGUCAGUUGGAGACAACUUUUUUGUUGCUCAUGCUGGGAAGGUUUAUCUUAGUAACAUAAAAUUGGAUUUCUCUCUUGGGAACUGAGAGCAGGUGUUGAUUAAGCAGUGUAGAACAUCAGUGGUUGGUAGAUAUCAUAUUACCCCAAAAAAAUUGACUUUUUCUUUUCUUUUUUUUAAUUU
rnacentral:misc_RNA from 1 species